CUUCUUAUCAAUUCGAGUGGCAAACGGGUGAGUAACGCGUAAGCAACCUGCCCUUUAGAUGGGGACAACAGUUGGAAACGACUGCUAAUACCGCAUGAUACAUUUGGGUGGCAUCAUCUGAAUGUCAAAGAUUUAUCGCUGAAAGAUGGGCUCACGUCUGAUUAGCUAGAUGGUGGGGUAACGGCCUACCAUGGCUGCGAUCAGUAGCCGGACUGAGAGGUUGAACGGCCACAUUGGAACUGAGACACGGUCCAAACUCC
rnacentral:rRNA from 1 species